rnacentral:misc_RNA from 1 species
CAAGCUGCCUUUCCUCCAUGCUAGGUGGGUACCUGUCAGGACCAUGGGAACUAUUGGAAGGCGUGUUUGCAAUGCCAAAUGAACAAAACCCUUUUUAAACGAAAGCAAUCGUCCAUUUUUGGACCUGGUGCCUUCAGGAAAAAUGAUUAGCGAUAGGUUGUUUCUGACAACUGCACAAGCUGCCUCUUUCAUUGAUUGAAUUGCAGCAGUUGGGUUAGACCGAUCUAUCCGAAGAUGAUUGGCCAAUACAUAAAGUUGUCCAAAUAGAGGGUACCAGAUUAUCUCCUUCUUUGCAAUGCCAACUGUGCCUGUGGGGGUCAACCACAUCAUAAGGAAAAUGUCUAUAGGAGAAGCAUGAUUACUGAUAUAAAUCGCCUUCUCAUUUGAGAAUUCGACACCUUCAAUCUUUACAGAAUUCCCUAAGAUCCACAUCAGCAUUCUACCAGUUACAUGUCCAUAAAUAUUUCCCUGCCUAAUCCUCUCAUAAGGCCAUGGCAAGAGCAAGAGCAUGAUUAUAGCCCAUACAAAUGUUGUAACCAUCAUUGACACUAAACAGACCACAAUCCUUAUACAAGAUAUCAAUGCAGAAAUCCACCCAUCAUCAUCAACAUAAACAUCAGUGUUGGGCCUUUUCUCCUCAUCUUCCCUCCUCACUUUUUUCGGAAUUUCUUUCACAUGUGGGGUGCAGUUUGUGUUGAGGAAACUCUCAAAUCUCCUAUUCCUCAUAAAAGAAACACCUCCAUUGUUCUCCAUGAGCUUUGCAACAGAUAUCCAACUAUACCGUUUUCUCGAGAAAAUAAAGGAAACAAGGCACAGAAUCUGAUAGAAAGUUCAAGGAGAUAGGAUAGGAUAUCUAAAGAGAGAAUAGAGUAUCAGGGUCUUGGAAGUCUU